GAGCAGAGAAGUGCACUCUCAGCUGAGAUUUCACAAGGUGAUAGCUCCUCCUGCUCAGCCUGUGGUCCUCAGUCACAUCCCUGUCACCAGGCAGGGCUGAAGGCUCGGGGAACAGUCGGCACUUUGUUGUCCAAUUCUAACCUCUGUUUGAACCAAAAUCCUGCAGGAGAGCUGGCGACCUCCCGGGGGGCACUGCUCUCAGGAGAGAAGCUCUGGCACUGCUCACGUUCACCUCAGUGACAGAGAUCAGACAGGGAGCCUGCACACCUUUUUUUUUUUUUCUUUUUUUUUUCCAGUUCUUCAAUGACUCUGACAUCCCCUUUCUUUGGGAGCUGAGUUUAGGAAAGCAGCGCUUCUUUUGAAGUAAGGCCCGCACCUGUGGCUAACUCAGGUCUCUUCCCAGGUUAUCCCCAAAUGGCUGCCGCCAUCUGGCACCCUGGCUGCCCCAACACACGGCUUCCCCAGCUGGGUUGUUUCCUCCUCCAGCAACAACACCUGGACUUGCUGAGGCCGCACAGGUGAGAGGAGAUUUGGGGAGGGUCGGGGUUUAUCAGCCCCUCUCGGGUGGUAGCCAGUUUCCCUCAGACAGGCUUUAGGAGCGCAGCAGCAGAGGUUGAGCUUAGCCUGGAAAUACAGAGUCCUGUCUGAGGGAGGAAGGAAGAAAUGAAGUGAAAAAUAAAGGUAUGUGCAUGCGUGCUUUUGGAGACCCUUGCUGCAUCCCACACAGAAGAAAGAAGUUGCCUGUGCAGAGCCAGCCUCAACUGUGUGGGACAAGCAAAUAACGGUGGGCUAUAUUACCCCCUCAAUUUUACACAAAACUUUUGAACAAACGUUCAACAGUGCCUCUCCUGAGUCUUUGGUUGGCAGUGGUCAGUGGCCUCCUGAUGUCACAAAGGUCUAUGUUGCCUAUGGGACAGAGAAACCUACCAGCAGCCACCUGCACAGUAGGUAACAAAGUCCCAUUGUGAGCCAGCAUCCCCGUGGCACGGGUAACAGAGCGAGUGGUGUGCCCGUGGGGCAGUGUGACCGAUGGCUGGAGAGGUGUGGGGAGCCUGGGGCAGAUAGCCUCAGCACGCACACUUGUCCUCUUCCUUCGAGCGCAUCUCUGCCUUACAACAAAGGGAAGCUGUGGAAGAAGUGACUGCUUCAGUGUGCGUUCACAGCUGCAGGUUAGUAGAUGGCAGCCCUUCCUUGGGCUGGAUUUCCACUUCUGCUUCUGGGGUGCAGCUGCUCAAAGUCAGAACUUUUGCCUUGGCAAAGUACAGAACUGGUGAGUGCAGGUGGAAACCAUUUCACAGCUUGAGAAUUUUCUUGGAUUUUGUACCCCACUUCUUAGCGUGAUCUUCAGAGAUUUACGACAGAAUUGCCAGCUGCUUAUUUUGUAAUCAACAAUACUUAUUAAAUGUUCUUUACUUUAAGAUUCAGGCUGAAGAAAAUACCCAAGUGAGGAAAUCUGAGGGGAAAGUGCUGAUCCUGAUGUCCGCUGUGCCAAAGCGCAGCAUUUGAUCACAGGCUUUGUCUUUUGGUGGUUAUUACAUUAAAUAAUGUGUCUGCCGCUUGUAGAUCAACAAUAGAUUUCCACUGCUUAGAGUGUUAAUCUAGCUCAGAAAGACAACUUGGUCUCUCACUCUACAAGAGAUCCUACACCUAGAGAUAAAAUCAGCCUGAAUAGCUUUGGUUUUAGAUUUGAUAGCCAUGACUCCUUUCCAGGAAGCUCGUUUUAGGUUUUACUCCCCUCCAUGCCAAUUUAACCAGUCUUUUCUGCUUGAGCUUGGCAAGCAGAAAAAGAAGCAAGAAACCAGCUUUUAAGUUGUUACUAGCGCAGAAAAAAGGUAGGACCGAAUUUGAGAGAAACCUGGUCUUGGAAGGCUUUCACUUACUGCUGAAUCUCAGAGGAUUUGGGUAACAGUAAGAAAAACAAUUAGUGAAUUAAACCCCAAACCUUUAGUGUCUCUCACAUGCUGUUGAAUGAGGGACCCAAAUGACCUUUGAGUGUUUAUUGCUUGAUACAUGUGUUUAGGACGGUAGCAUUGUAGAAAAGAGGUGGGAAAUUUUGGACUGACUGAAGAAAGAUGCAACAUUAACAAAUCACUGAAAGCUAUUACAAAGUGUCUCUGUCCUCUCCUUGGAGAGGGUCCUGCUACUUUUCUGGUUUAAAAAGCAUUGUAGACGUGGAUUUAUAGUUCCUUGCUGUCCCAAGCUAGCUUAUAUUCUUAAGCCAUUUGACAUCAAAUCAAAGAUUUCUGGAGCUAUUAAAAGCAACUUUGUUGUGUG
rnacentral:lncRNA from 1 species